GAGGAUAUAGCUCAGUGGUAAAGUGCAUGCCUAGGAUGCAUGAGGUCCUGGGUUCAAUCCCCAGUGCCUCCA
rnacentral:tRNA from 1 species